rnacentral:tRNA from 1 species
GCUAAGAUGGCAGAGACUGGGUUAUUGCGAGAGGCCUAAGCCCUCUCUACCGGGGGUUCAAAUCCCCCUCUUAGCU